rnacentral:lncRNA from 1 species
UCGACUGGCUAUAAGUCUGACCACUUCCAAACUGCGUAACCGUGUGAUAUCGCAUCUUCUAUUCCACAAGACACUGAAAAAUUAUUCAAAUGGAGAAUAAAUUUUUGCUUUUUGUUGCAAUUGGCGCACUGAUUGUCGCAAGUGCGAGGGGACAAGACGAAGAAAAUGAUUCUGAUCGCAGUGGAAAAGUGUUCUUGUACAAACGUGCAGAUUUUGAUGAUUCCAGUAAUAAGCAGGAUGUGUUUAUAAAUAAACGUACAG